ACUUAAAUUGAAGAGUUUGAUCAUGGCUCAGAUUGAACGCUGGCGGCAGGCCUAACACAUGCAAGUCGAGCGGUAGCACAGAGAGCUUGCUCUCGGGUGACGAGCGGCGGACGGGUGAGUAAUGUCUGGGAAACUGCCUGAUGGAGGGGGAUAACUACUGGAAACGGUAGCUAAUACCGCAUAAUGUCGCAAGACCAAAGUGGGGGACCUUCGGGCCUCAUGCCAUCAGAUGUGCCCAGAUGGGAUUAGCUAGUAGGUGGGGUAACGGCUCACCUAGGCGACGAUCCCUAGCUGGUCUGAGAGGAUGACCAGCCACACUGGAACUGAGACACGGUCCAGACUCCUACGGGAGGCAGCAGUGGGGAAUAUUGCACAAUGGGCGCAAGCCUGAUGCAGCCAUGCCGCGUGUGUGAAGAAGGCCUUCGGGUUGUAAAGCACUUUCAGCGGGGAGGAAGGCGAUAAGGUUAAUAACCUUGUCGAUUGACGUUACCCGCAGAAGAAGCACCGGCUAACUCCGUGCCAGCAGCCGCGGUAAUACGGAGGGUGCAAGCGUUAAUCGGAAUUACUGGGCGUAAAGCGCACGCAGGCGGUCUGUCAAGUCGGAUGUGAAAUCCCCGGGCUCAACCUGGGAACUGCAUUCGAAACUGGCAGGCUAGAGUCUUGUAGAGGGGGGUAGAAUUCCAGGUGUAGCGGUGAAAUGCGUAGAGAUCUGGAGGAAUACCGGUGGCGAAGGCGGCCCCCUGGACAAAGACUGACGCUCAGGUGCGAAAGCGUGGGGAGCAAACAGGAUUAGAUACCCUGGUAGUCCACGCUGUAAACGAUGUCGAUUUGGAGGUUGUGCCCUUGAGGCGUGGCUUCCGGAGCUAACGCGUUAAAUCGACCGCCUGGGGAGUACGGCCGCAAGGUUAAAACUCAAAUGAAUUGACGGGGGCCCGCACAAGCGGUGGAGCAUGUGGUUUAAUUCGAUGCAACGCGAAGAACCUUACCUGGUCUUGACAUCCACAGAACUUUCCAGAGAUGGAUUGGUGCCUUCGGGAACUGUGAGACAGGUGCUGCAUGGCUGUCGUCAGCUCGUGUUGUGAAAUGUUGGGUUAAGUCCCGCAACGAGCGCAACCCUUAUCCUUUGUUGCCAGCGGUCCGGCCGGGAACUCAAAGGAGACUGCCAGUGAUAAACUGGAGGAAGGUGGGGAUGACGUCAAGUCAUCAUGGCCCUUACGACCAGGGCUACACACGUGCUACAAUGGCAUAUACAAAGAGAAGCGACCUCGCGAGAGCAAGCGGACCUCAUAAAGUAUGUCGUAGUCCGGAUUGGAGUCUGCAACUCGACUCCAUGAAGUCGGAAUCGCUAGUAAUCGUAGAUCAGAAUGCUACGGUGAAUACGUUCCCGGGCCUUGUACACACCGCCCGUCACACCAUGGGAGUGGGUUGCAAAAGAAGUAGGUAGCUUAACCUUCGGGAGGGCGCUUACCACUUUGUGAUUCAUGACUGGGGUGAAGUCGUAACAAGGUAACCGUAGGGGAACCUGCGGUUGGAUCACCUCCUUACCUUAAAGAA
rnacentral:rRNA from 1 species